rnacentral:rRNA from 1 species
AUGAGAAGCACACAAUUAAGUGAGAGCUUGAACAGUGACUUGAAAGACCAUCUAAAGUCUGGUCUUGACAUCCUUCGGUUUUUCAAGCACGUAGAGAGGGUUGUGCAAGGAAAAAGAGAUAACAAGCGAUGGACUCGAGAAGCACGAAGUGGAACUAUUCAAAACAGUCAUGGAAACAUUGUUUUGGAAGACCCUAGAUCGGAAGAUAGGCAACAGUUGAAGUUUUUCAUGCACGAUUUCCAUGGCAUAGUUUCCCAAGCAGUUGCCUCCUACUACUACAUGCACACAACUGAAGAUAUAUCUAAAGAACCUGAGGAUUGUCUACAGGCCGCUUGCCUAAAGAAAAAAGAAAUUCCG